rnacentral:tRNA from 1 species
ACUUUCCUAAUAUAUUAGUAUAUUUGACUUCCAAUCAAAAAGUCUGAAUAAUUUCAGGGUAAGUA